UUCACCUUUUGUUCCUCUACCUGCCUGUCUGCCUGCAUCCGAGUCCAUUUCUAUAAACAUUAACACGAUAGAAACAAGCUGGAGCUGCAAAUUUCAGUCGCCACAGAGGAAGUCAUAAAGUUCCCUCCAGACAAUUGAGAACCACUCUGUUUUAAAUCUGUCUUUUGCAAGCUCGCUGAAUUUAUGGAAGUGCAAUUAGACCCUUUUUAAUCUAACAGCAGCAUAAUUUGUGGCAUGGUUUAUGAUAGUGUAAAUAACAGCAGCUUGCAUUUCUAAUAUCUUUUAAUGAAGCCAGGAAAUCCCCCCUGCCUUUACAUUAUAAACAGUUUAUGUUUCAAAGAGUCUAUUAUCAAUCCAACAUGUGAUACUCAAACCUUUGACGACGUCUAUUCUGCCAAAAACAUCAUACAGUAUUCCAGCGAGUGGCGGUCUGUAAAUAAUGUUCACAGUAAUUAUUCAGUCUUUGAUCAAAUUUCUUAUCGCACAAACUCACAUUUAGUUUCAUUCUCACAUCUCAGAUCUGAGGAGAGAGAAGCACUGUGCUGUGGUUCUGUUCAGCUGCACACCAAUCCAUCCCAAUAAGCACGAUACUGAAUUCCUCUGCCAUAUUGAUUCUACAGAGUCGGCCCAUACAUCACACACGGCCUCUUUGUUCGCAUUUCAUCUGCCUCCUGUAAUAAAACAUAUCGUACGUCCACUGACCUUUACUGGAAAUACCAAAGCAGACUUUAGAUCGGCUGUUCUAUUGUUCUAAUGAUCUCGGGACCUGCCAGACCAAAAUUAGUUACAUCUAUAAAAACACAAGCUUCAUCCGGCAUCUGAGGGAGCAGCUGCCAUAGAAACCAGACACUGGCUGUUUGCUGAGGAUGAGCGAGGAUCAGCUCAAAGCAGAACCACAGGGGAUGAGAGAUGGAGCCAUGAGACAUCCCAUCAUUGAGAAGCUUGCGACCUUGAUGAUCAUCACCUCCCUGGGUCGUUCACGAUGACCCCGGGCCUCUCAUCAGCUCACCAUCUCCAUUUGACCCUGACUCACUGUCUCCUCACCGGCCCUCGGUUCAUGUCUCUGUCCCUGACCUAUCGCACAGCCAUUUAUCCAUCGCUCCGGUCCAGGUCUUGGAUGAAUAACUUCAGAGGUGACUGGUCGUGAAAACGCCAUUUGUGUAACUUGCAGAAACUACAGGAGAGAUGAGUCUGUGUGCUUAAUGGAAAAUACAGCUUGUGCCUAAAA